rnacentral:rRNA from 1 species
UACGGGGGGGGGUAAGCGUUGUUCGGAAUUACUGGGCGUAAAGGGCUCGUAGGCGGCCAACUAAGUCAGUCGUGAAAUCUCUCGGCUCAACCGGAGAAACGUCGGCUGAUACUGCCGUUCUUGAGGGAUGGCAGAGGAGACUGGAAUUCCCGGUGUAGCGGUGAAAUGUGUAGAGAUCGGGAGGAACACCGGUGGCGAAGGCGGGUCUCUGGGCGAUCUCCUGACGCUGAGGCGCGAAAGGCGUGGGAGCAAAGCGGG